UCCCUUGUGGUCUAGUGGUUUGAUGCUCUACUUUGACCAAAGUGGUGUGGGUUCGUAUCCCACCAAGGGUA